rnacentral:rRNA from 1 species
AACGAACGCUGGCGGCAUGCCUAACACAUGCAAGUCGAACGAUCCCUUCGGGGAUAGUGGCGCACGGGUGCGUAACGCGUGGGAACCUGCCCUUAGGUUCGGAAUAACUCAGAGAAAUUUGAGCUAAUACCGGAUAAUGUCUUCGGACCAAAGAUUUAUCGCCUUUGGAUGGGCCCGCGUUGGAUUAGCUAGUUGGUGGGGUAAAGGCCUUCCAAGGCGACGAUCCAUAGCUGGUCUGAGAGGAUGAUCAGCCACACUGGGACUGAGACACGGCCCAGACUCCUACGGGAGGCAGCAGUGGGGAAUAUUGGACAAUGGGCGAAAGCCUGAUCCAGCAAUGCCGCGUGAGUGAUGAAGGCCUUAGGGUUGUAAAGCUCUUUUACCCGGGAUGAUAAUGACAGUACCGGGAGAAUAAGCCCCGGCUAACUCCGUG